UGGGGUGUAGCUCAGUGGUUGAGCACUUGCCUUGCAUGUGUGAGGCAUUGGGUUUGAACCUCAGCACCAUAU
rnacentral:tRNA from 1 species